rnacentral:tRNA from 1 species
GGGGUUGUAGCUCAAUGGUAGAGCCCUUACCUAGCACAUGUGAGGCACUGAGUUCGAUUCUCAGAACCACA